rnacentral:rRNA from 1 species
GUAGUCCACGCCCUAAACGAUGUGUGCUGGAUCACGGCGGCUCUGACGCCGUCGGGAUCGCAGAGAAAUUGCUAAGCACACCGCCUGGGGAGUACGGUCGCAAGAUUAAAACUCAAAGAAAUUGACGGGGGCUCACACAAGCGGUGGAGCAUGUGGCUCAAUUCGAAGCAACGCGCAGAACCUUACCUGGGUUUGACAUGCACGGAUUAGUGGGUGGAAACAUUCAUAACGCUCGCAAGAGUGGAACGUGCACAGGUGCUGCAUGGCUGUCGUCAGCUCGUGCUGUGAAGCGUCGGGUUAAGUCCCUUAACGAGCGCAACCCUUGUCGUUAGUUACUAACAGGUAAUGCUGAGGACUCUAACGAGACUGCCGGUGUCAAACCGGA